GUAGCUCAAUUGUGCAGCACAUAGACUAAAAUUGGAAUGAUAUAGAGAUGAUGAGCAUGGCCCCUGGGCAAGGAUGACAUGCAAAUUCAUCAACUGUUCAAUAUUUUU
ensembl:snRNA U6 U6 spliceosomal RNA